rnacentral:misc_RNA from 1 species
UCCGAGUUGACCCCGGCAGUCUCCCAUGAGUCCCCGCCAUUACGCGCUGGCAACAUGGAACGAGGGUUGCGCUCGUUGCGGGACUUAACCCAACAUCUCACGACACGAGCUGACGACAACCAUGCACCACCUGUGACGGUGCUCCGAAGAGAGUCCCUGUUUCCAGGGUUUUCACCGACAUGUCAAGCCCAGGUAAGGUUCUUCGCGUUGCGUCGAAUUAAACCACAUGCUCCGCUGCUUGUGCGGGCCCCCGUCAAUUCCUUUGAGUUUUAGCCUUGCGGCCGUACUCCCCAGGCGGGGUGCUUAAUGCGUUAGCUUCGGCACGGACGGAGUUGACACCGCCCACACCUAGCACCCAUCGUUUACGGCGUGGACUAC